AGCAGCCGCGGUAAUUCCAGCUCCAAUAGCGUAUAUUAAAGUUGUUGCAGUUAAAAAGCUCGUAGUUGAAUUUCGGGGUUAGUAAGUUGGUCGUGCCACUGGUAUGUACUGGCUUUACUGAUUCCUCCUUCUUGUAGAACCGUAAUGCCAUUAAGUUGGUGUUGCGGGGAAACAGGACUGUUACUUUGAAAAAAUUAGAGUGUUUAAAGCAAGCUGACGCUUGAAUACAUUAGCAUGGAAUAAUGAAAUAGGACGUUCGAUCCUAUUUUGUUGGUUUCUAGGAUUGACGUAAUGAUUAAUAGGGAUAGUUGGGGGCAUUAGUAUUCAAUUGUCAGAGGUGAAAUUCUUGGAUUUAUUGAAGACUAACUACUGCGAAAGCAUUUGCCAAGGAUGUUUUCAUUAAUCAAGAACGAAAGUUAGGGGAUCGAAGACGAUCAGAUACCGUCGUAGUCUUAACCAUAAACUAUGCCGACUAGGGAUCGGAUGAUGUUAAUUUUAUAAUGACUCAUUCGGCGCCUUA
rnacentral:rRNA from 1 species